AGGUUUAUCAGCUGCGUGAAUGGGAGCGUUUGAAGCUGCAUCUGCUGGAGAGGCGUCAGCACGUGAGGAUCAUCUCUGUGGACGGUGUGGACAAUCAGCAGAUCCUCCCGCCAGACAACGGAGUAGGGUUAAAAGCGCAUGCGCCAACAACGCGAAGGCGCGAACCUGCUGUCCCUCCGCGUUCGCAGCGACGCCGUGAAUUAGGACACGAUCCCAAGCAGCAGAACUCGCGCUGCCAGGCGCUCGCUCGCGCGGACGGCGUCGGCCGCUGUUAAUUAUGCAAAUGAGCUGAUAAGGGAAGCGAAGAGGCCCGAUAAAACAAAACAGCCCCUUUUUAAUCACACUUGGGGUUUUUGCUGGAGUUGUGAUCUCAGAUCCUUAACGAACGUUGUCACGUUCAUAUUUUGUGCGCGCGCGCGCGCACGGCUGCCGAGUAAACGGCCUCAAAGACGCCUCGUCAGCGCGCGGUGGCGGCGGUGAUCACGCGAAGACCGAUAGUGUCCGGGGCCAUUCGUCUCUCAUCGCUCCGACGCCUAUGGACUAUUAUGCGGAUUUAUGGGGCACAUGAAGGUUGGCGCUUCAGCUAAAGAUUCGAGGAGAUUCACUGUGUCCCAUUUUUAGCGGUUCCACAAAAUCGCAAUUACACAGCGUGGCGUGCAGCAUGUGGUCUGUGAUCUCUUCAAAGUGGAGCAAAAAUUCAAUUGGAGCAACUUUGGCAGCGUCGACGUCUACAUUUUUCUUUUCAGUCCUUUCCCAGGGCUUCAUUUCUUUUUGCUCUGGUUGCAGUCUUGUCAGGGACGUGGCUCCCCAUCUGUGGGCGAUGAAGAGGAGUCAGUCUGAGACCUCCAGCUCAGAGGAAGAGACCGGCUCCGCAGGGAGGAAACAAACUGCUCGCUCCUCCCGCUCACUCUGCUUUAGCAGCGGCUCCAAAAUACCGGACACAAACAAGCGUCAGGCCACGUGACUCUUCGCCCGGAGAGUAAUUCGCAACGCCGGCGGGGAGCUGCGGCAGCAGAUGAUCCCUGGACUGAUGACGGAGGGGAACGAGACGAAGGCUUGCAGAGGCUGCUGGAGGACUCGGCUGGUUCCAGCUGCAAGGCGUGAGAGGAGGCAGACAGCCCGAGGCUCACGCAGGGCGGAACACAGUGUUCUGGCACCCGCCGGCGAAGAAGCUCGCGAAGAAGCCGAAGGAGUAGCUCGCCCGCGGGAACGGGGAGAGAGAGAGAGACGGAGGUUCCCUGCUGUUUCCUUAAUGUGGGAUGAAAUGCUGAACGUGACUCAGCAUUUAACGACCCUCCCGUCAAUGCCGGCCGAAAUCCGGGGCGGCUGCCGGUCACGGAAUCCGAGGGAGAUCUUCAUCUGCUGAUCACGCAGCAGGAGAGCGGAUGCGAAACGAGCAAGGACGAGACUCGGGGUCGGGAAGUAAUUACAGGAGGGUUCCUCUUGUCAGCACGCAUCCAAGGACGAAGCGUGCGCGGCCAUACUUUAUUUCAGUGCACAAAAAGGGGGUUUUCUUGCAAAAAGCAGUCAAAAAGAUGUAGGUGUUCCCAAUGGAGCCGACACAGACUGAUGUUCAACGGCAUCAGCCCGAAUCAGAGGGCGACAUCAUUACGUGGCCCACAUUCAUGCAUCAUCUCAGAUGCUUGAACGUGGAGCACGUCCAGAGAGUUGAUGUUUGAUCCCUCUUGUAACUCGUAGAAACUCCAACGAGUGCACUUUGACUCCGGGCUCCGAGGGAACAAAUGUCACCGCGGGUGAUCUCGCUCCAUCGUGUCAGGCCGAAGCGUGGAAAAAGUGAAAAUAAAAACUGCUUCUCAAAUGGCUCUUAGGUCGAUUCCCCGGAGAGAAACCCUGCAUUACUCUCCCACUUUUCCCGCUCGCUCGCUCGCUCUUCUCUAUCAUCGCGGCUCAAAUAAAUCAAAGCUACAAUAAUUCAUGAGAGUAAAGAGUGUAUUUGCAUGCGAGCGGGUCUGGUUCUGAGAGCUGGAGCGGU